rnacentral:lncRNA from 1 species
CCGGAGGAUGCUGUAGAUUCGGCUCCGUCGUUGUCUUCCUCCACAUCGUCGUCCACAAGUGAAGUAUUUAUUAACAGUCCGAGAUACAAAUGGUUCACCGUACUCGGCGGUAUUGAGAUGUUAGACACCGCGUACUUGACUUACCUCAAGCUCACUGGUUCCGAUGUCUUUUGCCCUGUUGGUGGUGGUACUUGCAGCGAUGUCUUGAACAGCGAUUAUGCCCUUGUUUUUGGCUAGUAUCAUCCAUCGCUUUAUUUUGAUUCACGUUGCUCCAUUGUUGAAUUGUGGAGAUUGAAUGCAUAUAGGUAGUCCUGAGUCUAGAAUAUGAGAUUUAUAUUCGUGUACAUCUCUUAAACUAGCAAUUCAAUCACUAAGGCAUGAUUAGAUCCUGUUUAAAUAAUUCGCAUGUGAUUGUGAGAAUCUCGAAUUUGUGCUACAAGCUGUAGUAUUGCCUUAUUGGGGAGCUUCAGUAUUUAGUAUGCAUAGAAAGAACUGUUAAAGUAUUUAGUAUGCUUCAAUUUGUACUCCUGUUGUCGGAUCUAGAUUACCUAUUAAGACAUCGAGCGAUGCCUUAAAGUAUCCUCCGACUCUGUGUCUUCGUCCGUGGCUAUUUUUGCAAUCUCGCGAUAACUUCUCCAUCUAAUAUGUAAAUCUUUUCUAUGGAGACAGCAUGCCAAUCCGCGAAGGUGGAAGUACAUGAAGUCGGGCCCCGAUAAAUUUCCUAAAAAUAAUUAGUUGAAUCAACACAAAACACACAGACAAAGAUCUCAAAACAGAAAUAUUACUUGAAUAUGAACACUUACGUCUCUAAUAUCGGCAAAUUCCGGAAGGAACACUGCUAUGGUUCCUAUGAUUGGCUGACCUUUCAAAUAGUGAAGGGCCAUGUUAACAUCCUUGAAACAUCUGACAUCGUUAAGGACAUGUACGCGAUUCGCCUCACAGGGGUGUCGACCAACAUAGUCACUGCACUUCCUAGAAAACCUCCAGUCAGAACUCUUCGGAAUCCCGUUGUUCAUUAUAUACUCCAUAGCUCUAAACGUAGAAUAUCCGUAGCAGCUAUGUUCCCCGAAACUAGUUGAAAGUCUCAUUCUUGCCUUCGAAUGGUCCACAACAUCCAGAAGAAACGUACUGGAAUAACGUGUUCGUGUCUCAUCGAUUCCUCUGUGAAAACGUGCAUCACUAAUAUUUCCCGAAGACGCCUUCGUCCAACAUGUUCCUGCAAUUUCGAUUAAGGAUAUUAUUUAUAGUGAAAAGUUAAAAAGACUGGAAAUUAUAUAUGUAUCACAUUACGAUGAUAUCCCUGAGCUGCCACUGGAGCUUCUUUAUCAUGCCAGCCUUCUCCUUGUACUUUCUCAUGGUCUACCUGAAAUCAUCAUAACAAAAUCAUUGAGAAAACAAUACAGAUAAAAAGAAUACAUAUUAUUAUAUAAUACAAGUAACACCAUAAAUUUUGCAGGCCAAACCGAAUCAAAACAAAACAGAAACCAAACCGAGUGUCAUUUACUUUCUUAACCUGAAAACUGAACCGAAACCCGGUAACUUACAGAAAACUCCUCAAAUGUUCGUCAUCUGAGCCGGAAGAUUUUUGAUCAAAUGUUCGUCAUCUGAGCCGGAAGAUGGUGUAGAUUCGGCGUCGGCGCCGUCGUCGACAAGUGAAGUACCUAUUGACACUUGGACAUACAACUGGUUCACCGUACUCGGCGGUAUCGGAAUGUUGAACACCGCGUACUUGACUUACCUCAAGCUCACUGGCUCCGAUGCCUUUUGCCCUGUUGGUGGUGGCACUUGCGGCGAUGUCUUGAACAUCGAUUACGCUCUUGUUUUUGGUUAGUAUCAUCCAUCGCUUUAUUUUGAUUCACGUUGCUCCAUUGUUGAAUUGUGGAGAUUGAAUGCAUAUGGGUAGUUCUGAGUCUAGAAUAUGAGAUUUAUAUUCGUGUACAUCUCUUGAACUAGCAAUUCAAUCACUAAGGCAUGAUUAGAUCCUGUUUAAAUAAUUCGCAUGUGAUUGUGAGAAUCUCGAAUUUGUGCUACAAGCUGUAGUAUUGGCUUAUUGGGGAGCUUCAAUAUUUAGUAUGCAUAGAAAGAACUGUUAAAGUAUUUAGUAUGCUUCAAUUUGUACUCCUGUUGUCGGAUCUAGAUUACCUAUUAAGACAUCGAGCGAUGCCUUAAAGUAUCCUCCGACUCCGUGUCCUCGUCCGUGGCUAUUUUUGCAAACGCGAUAACUUCUCCAUCUAAUAUGUAAAUCUUUUCAAUGGAGACAGCAUGCCAAUCCGCGAAGG